GACGAACGCUGGCGGCGUGCUUAACACAUGCAAGUCGAACGGUAAGGCCCUUCGGGGUACACGAGUGGCGUACGGGUGAGUAACACGUGGGUGAUCUGCCCUGCACUUCGGGAUAAGCCUGGGAAACUGGGUCUAAUACCGGAUAGGACCCUGGGAUGCAUGUCCUGGGGUGGAAAGCUUUUGCGGUGUGGGAUGGGCCCGCGGCCUAUCAGCUUGUUGGUGGGGUGAUGGCCUACCAAGGCGACGACGGGUAGCCGGCCUGAGAGGGUGACCGGCCACACUGGGCCUGAGAUACGGCCCAGACUCCUACGGGAGGCAACAGUGGGGAAUAUUGCACAAUGGGCGCAAGCCUGAUGCAGCGACGCCGCGUGAGGGAUGACGGCCUUCGGGUUGUAAACCUCUUUCAGCACCGACGAAGCGCAAGUGACGGUAGGUGCAGAAGAAGGACCGGCCAACUACGUGCCAGCAGCCGCCGUAA
rnacentral:rRNA from 1 species